rnacentral:rRNA from 1 species
AUUGAACGCUGGCGGCAGGCCUAACACAUGCAAGUCGAGCGAGCGGCGGACGGGUGAGACAUGUCUGGGAGACUGCCUGAUGGAGGGGGAUAACUACUGGAAACGGUAGCUAAUCCCGCAUACCAUCAGAUGUUCCCAGAUGGGAUUAGCUAGUAGGUGGGGUAACGGCUCACCUAGGCGACGAUCCCUAGCUGGUCUGAGUGGAUGACCAGCCACACUGGAACUGAGACACGGUCCAGACUCCUACGGGAGGCAGCAGUGGGGAAUAUUGCACAAUGGGCGCAAGCCUGAUGUAGCCAUGCCGCGUGUAUGAAGAAGGCCUUCGGGUUGUAAAGUACUUUCAGCGGGGAGGCGUUACCCGCAGAAGAAGCACCGGCUAACUCCGUGCCAGCAGCCGCGGUAAUUC